GCAUCAUUGUCUUUAGGGCUUUUUCUGCACAGAGAUCAGGAUAAGAAAAGGAAAAACAUCCCAAGGCCUAACAGUGAAGGCAUCUGUUGCUGACCACACUGAGGGCUGUGGCUUCUCUUCAGACCUGGACUGGUGAGGUCUGCAGGCCUCUGGGCUGAGCCCGACUCCUCUUCAGCCUCAUUAACCCAGAAAGGGGUCUGGAGAGGUGAAUUUAGGCAGAUUCCAACGAGCAAGAACUGAUCAUCGUUCCUGCUUACCGCUGGUUGUUCUGGACAAGAAGUGAUAGAAUGUGUUACCUUCCAUGGCAAAAGAGACUUUGCAGAUGUGAAUGAGGUCAAACACCUUGUUGAAGGAGAUCAUCCAGGAAUAUCUUGGCAUUCUGUGAGCUGCCGUGAACCAUGAGCACACAAACACAGCCCCUGCCCUAGAGGAGCUUACAGUUUAAGUGAAAAAGGUGACGAGAACCCCAAGGCUCAGCAGGGGAAAGAGAUUUGCAAAGAUGGCCAACAGAAGACAGUCCAGGAUGCUCACAACUCCCUGGGGUGAACGUUACCCCUGCCAAUGUCACACUUCCCCAAGGAGAGAAUACACCCCUGCCCCAGCAGUUCAGGCACAGCUGUCCUGUCUCAUUCUUACAGAACAGAGGGUCUGCAGGCAUCUCAGUAAGAUACUAAAGCAAUUUGUUUUAUUUGUCCAAGGGAAUACUGCCCUUAUUUGACUGAAUAAGCAUAAAUAGCCAGGGAGGGGUCUGUUUGUGGCGUCACCAUCUGCACCAGCAGAAGAGCCCUCACACAUUGUCUCUUUCCCAGCAGCUGCAGUUCUCCUAAAGAAGUCAGAUCAAGUUCAGGUUUAAAAUAAGUAAUCUGGAUUUGCAAGGUGCCAUGAGGAUGGCAGUGCCACUAUACCAAUUCCCCAGGGAACUAUUCCCAGGGCUCCAGGCCCCAUGGUUUGACUUCUCUUCUCUGGCAUGAGAAAUCAGUGUAUUCUCACAUUGUCUCCUGAGAUUCAGAUCCUCUGCCAAACGAUGGAUCUGAAACCACUCUCAUCUCUACCUCCAUGCUUCAACACCUCCAUCUGCUCCAGAGUGGACUACUUGGGACAGAUACAUAAAAAUAAAAGACAGUGUUUCAGGGAAAGGGAAGAAGUGUGGACCUUUGGUGGAUACCCAUUCUACUUCAUUGGAUCAUCCUGAUAACUCAAUAUGCUCAGUGUUAUUAUCACAUUGUGUAGAUGAGGCUGAGAACAUGCGCUUGUCUGUGGUCACACUACUGUGCAGUGAUGGAGUUGGAAUACCAGCUCAUUUGUCAAAGCCUGGGUUCCCCUCAAAGCUUCUUAAACUUUGGCAGGACUAAAAUACUCCUAAUGCAAGAGAUGGGUAAAUGCACACUCCCGGGUGAGCUUGGGGCUCAGUAUACACAGUCCGUGGUGUUCAGUCAGCAUGGAACAUUGUUCCUGGCCUUUCACUGAGAAGACUCUCAUUGGUCCUUCCCUCAGCCAGUCAUUUCCUCCAGGAAGCUAUUUCUGAGCUCCCCGGUCUAGGCUCCGUUGCCAACCCCCGAGGUGCUCCAAUAUUGCAUAUUCUGUGAGGGCACUCAGCUUGUGUUGUGUUGCUUAAUUAUUUGUCGGUGUGGCCUCAGGAGGUCAGGGACCACAUCUGCCUUGUGUCUUCCUAUAGGUACCCCCAGCAGCCAGCACACUGCUCAGCACAGUAUAACUGCCCAAUGAAUAGCUGUUGAGUAAACAUUGACUCCAGCUAAAGCUUCUAUCUCAUGUGUAAAUUGCCUCUCGAACAGAUCUGUUAGUUAUAAUCCAGCCUCUUCAAACACAGCACCAACAACAGAAAAUUCAGAAAAUGAAGAGGCAAAGACUGGAUGCAGUGGCUCAUGCCUUUAAUCCCAGCCAUCUGGGAGGCCAAGGCAGGAGGAUUGCUUAAGCCUGGGAGUCAGAGACCAGCCUGGAAAACAAAGCGAGACCCUGUCUCUACAAAAAAAAAAAUUUUAAUUAGCCAGGUGUGAUGGCAUACACCAGUUAAAAUGGGAGGAUCACUUGAACCUGGGAGGUCGAGGCUACACGAGCAGUGAUGGCACUGCUGCACUCCAGCCUGGGCAACAAGUCAACCCUGCUCAAAAAAAAAAGAGAGAGGCAAACCCUUCUAUGUUCAUCCCACACCAUACCCAUUCUACUCCAUAUUCUUUGUUGAUUGUUUGGGUUUCGUUUUGUUUUGUUUUUUGAGACAGGGUCUCACUCAGUUGCCCAGGCUGGAGUGCAGUGGCACAAAUACAGCUCACUGCAGCCUCAUCCUCCUGGGUUCAAGGGAUUCUCCCACUUCAGUCUCUUGAGUAGCUGGAACUACAGGUGCAUGCCACCAUGCCCAGCUAAUUUAAACAAUUUUUUGUAAAAACGGGGCUCUCACUAUGUUGCCCAGACUGGUCUUGAACUCCUGGCCUCAAGCUAUCCUCCCGCCUCAGUGUCCCAAAGUGCUGGGAUUAUAGACAUGAGACAUCAUGCCAGCCUACGGCAUAUUCUCUGUAUUCCAGGCACACUGGCCCUCCUUGAGUUCCUUAAAUGCUCUAUGAUCCCUCCACCGCAUGGCUUUUGCACACCCCAUUCCCUCUAAUCCCCACUCUUGCUCUUUCUCCAGAUCUCAGCUCAGUCCCAGUUCAUGUUCUUGGGGCACCAUUUGGCUCUCUCUCAUACCUUUAAGCACAUGGUUUGUGUCUGAUUGCAUGUCUUGCACUGCGAAGGCAGGUGUGAGGUUUUUUUGGUCUUUGUUUACCCUCGUGUCUCCAGCAUCUAGUGGCUGGCAUAGUGUACAAGCUCAGUACACUGUGCCUGAACAAUGAAGUGAUGUUUAAAUGGAGGUCUGUGCAGGUGGAGUAUUCUAAGCAGGAGAAACAGGUAGAGCAAAGCCCUGAGGAAAGAGAUAUCAAGUUGCAUUUAAGACUGAACGAAGCCCACUGUAGCUGAGCCAUAGAGAAUGAGGGGGAAGAGCGCAUCAUGGUAAGGCUCUAGAGAGGUAGGCAGAGCCUCACAGGGUCUUAAAAGUGAGUUAAGACCUUUGACUUGCCACCAUCGGGUUUUAAGCAGGGUGGUAAUUCUCCCGUUCUGCACAGGACCUCUACUAAUGCCACCCCAUGAGGGAAGGUGGUCUUUUAAACCAGAGGUCAGCAUAUUGCAUGCAUGCACAUUAAAUGUCAUCAUAGUUAGCUGAGUCUAUUGUUCUAACCUUCUGAGAUCAUUUUGAGCCUUCUUUGUGCCUUCUAGCUUGGCAUCAUCAGCAAUUUGUGGUAAUAGAAGGGGGCCCGCCUAUCAAGAAAUAUCAGAGAAAACAAAGGCAGUACAGUUCCACGGGGCUCCAACCACAACACAAGUCCUAGCUCCUGUGGCAUUGGGAAUUCCAGCCAUGGAUGUCUGGGACUAUAACCCGGAUCUCUAAUAGACUACAAGUUCAGCAGUGUCAUCCUUGCAUACUCUAACGUUUUAUGUACAUAUCCUUUUUUUUUUAUUUUUUAAUUUCCCUUUUUCCUCUUUAAGCCCUCCCUAAUAAAGGACGUGGAGAGGAAGAGUUCCUUGCUUACUUCAACCAUAUAAACUGGAUUUUUCUUUUCUUUUCUUUUUUUGAGACAAGGUCACUCUGUCACCCAGGCUAAAGUACAGUGGCACAAUCAUAGCUCACUGCAGCCUCAACUUUCUAGCUUCCUAUCCUCCUGCCUCAGCCUCCCAAGUAGCUGGGAUUACAGGCACAUGCAACUGGACCUGGCUUUAUUUUUUUUGUAGAGACAGGGUCUUGCUAUGUUGCCCAGGCUGGUCUUGAACCCCUGGGCUCCAAUAAUCCUUCCACUUCUGCCUCUCGAAGUGCUGGAAUUAUAGUCAGGGGCACCAUGCCCAGCCUAUAAAUUGGAUUUCUUUUUUCCCUGAAGAAAUUUUUAUUGUUUUCUUCCUGCUGUCUGAUGUGUUUUAAUAAAUAGAAUGUUUGUCUUUUGUUUGCAUAUAUUCCAAG
rnacentral:lncRNA from 10 species